CACCAUAGUUCUCCUCCAUUGGCGGUGGCGGAUAGUUAGUCCGACCAUAAAUAUCAUCCAUCGGUGGCGUAUACUCAGUCCGACCAUAAUUAUCAUCCAUCGGCGGCGGAGGAUAGUGAGGCCGGUCAUAAUUAGGUUCCAUUGGUGGUGGUCCACCUACAUGAGAAGUAUGAAAGACCUGGCCAACUUGAGGAGGAGGUGGUUCAUCGUAGGGUGGUCGGUGGCCGGGAGGUGGAAAUUCUUCUCGACGGUCGUCGUCGUCGUCGCGACGGUGGUGGUGGUGGUGGUGACCGUGGUGGCCAAAAGGAUACUCCAUUGAUAGAUAAAGUAUUAUUAAAUUUUAG
rnacentral:lncRNA from 1 species